UACGUAGGGGGCUAGCGUUGUCCGGAAUCAUUGGGCGUAAAGAGCGUGUAGGCGGCCCGGUAAGUCCGCUGUGAAAGUCGGGGGCUCAACCCUGGAAAGCGGGUGGAUACUGCCGGGCUAGAAUCCGGAAGAGGCGAGUGGAAUUCCUGGUGUAGCGGUGGAAUGCGCAGAUAUCAGGAGGAACACCAAUAGCGAAGGCAGCGCGCUGGGACGGUAUUGACGCUGAGGUGCGAAAGCGUGGGGAGCAAACAGG
rnacentral:rRNA from 1 species